rnacentral:misc_RNA from 1 species
UCUCCGUAGGUGAACCUGCGGAGGGAUCAUUACCAGAGAUGGCGGGCCUCCGUGCCCCCGUCCCCAACCCAUUGUUGACCAACACCUUUUUGCCUCGGGGGCAGAGCGUCCGCCGCCGCCCCCGGAGGACCACCGAACGCUGUCUCUAUACGUCAGAGUAUUGAUUAAAUGAAUGAAAACUUUCAACAACGGAUCUCUUGGUUCUG